AAUGCAACAGUACUACUCAAACAUUCUUGUGACAACGACUAACAACUGAUGUUACAUCCUGAAGCAAUUUGACAACAUCAACAUACCUAACAGAUUAUCCACGAUGGUUUUUGAAAGGAUAAAGGCGUCCAUUCGAUAUUUCUACCUACAAUACACAUUAGUAACAUCACUAUACAUGUUGGAACCAAUGGAAGUACGGACGUUCAAUUCCAUGUUGGUUGCAGUGAUAGCCAUGUGUGUGUACACCAGUUGUUCUGUGUUACCUGGACACAUCAGACUACUGCUUCAGACCAUAGCAUAUUAUGUCUACGGAGCAGACCCCUUUAAUCAGUCAAUUAAAACUGGAUAAUACGGCUACAUCAGAGGAUAUUUUAUCUGAGGAUGCUGUUAUAUUAUAGUCCAGGCUGUGGGAGAAGGAGGAGGACGAGUUCUGCAGACUUGACUAAUGUUGUACACUCAUGAAUCAUAUCACUUCAAUGUCAUGAAAAGCCAAAGAAUAACAACAGAUAUGAUCUGAAAAGGAAAAACAAGGAAUUAAAUCUUACCUGCGAGUGCCAUUGAUUGCCCAUGUAUAUAUUUGAUGAGGACAUCCAUGUCAGAAGAUGCGCUUGCUGAGUUUAAAGCUUGUGAAUGGAUCUUGAAAGUUUGAAUUUGAAAUUAAUUAACAACUUUUGAUGAUUGGAUUUUAAGAAAAAAGCAUUCAGCUACCUAGGUGACUCUGUGAUUUUGUUAUAUGUAUAUAAGCAGUAAAUGUAAAGCUAUGUUACAUUAAACCUUAAAAGCUUAAUUAGCCAAUAGUAAAAGGACAAAUGGUUAUAAUUAGGUAGAAACUUGUCGCAAGGAUGUGGAGUUGAUAUACGAUUGUUAACUAAUAUUAGAAUAUGGAUGAUUGAUAUGUAGUAGGCCUGUUUUUUUUUUAUUCUUGCCUGUAUUGAUAGCAUAUAAAAAAUAGAAUGAUAUGUUAGUUUCUUAGAUUUUAAUAUACAUAUUACAUGUUGAAGUCUGUUUAUAUAAUUUGGUUAACCUGAUUUCCUUGGUGCUUGUAUGUUUUAGUGUUCAUCAGUAUGCAUAACCUUUUAUUAUGCUAUGCCAUUUUAUUAACUUGAUUCUUAGUAAGUAGCUUGAGUUGCCUUUUAGAGGGAUUUUUGAAUUAACCGAUUCUUAGACCUUACCAUGCAGCUAGUUUUAUUUAGUUAUUAAACAGAAGAAAGGUCAAUUUAAGCUCAUUAAAUUUUUAAAACAUAUAUUUGCAUUGCAUUGUAUGCUUCAUUUUCCAAUUAAGAUUGAGAUAUUGAUUCUUCUAAUGUGUUUAAAAGUUUCUUGACUGCAAACCUCAUUUUUGUGUCGCCUACAACGGAUGUUGGAAAGACACAUAGGCA